GACAGAGGGUGCAAACGUUGUUCGGAAUUACUGGGCGUAAAGCGUGUGUAGGCGGCCAGAUAAGUCGGGUGUGAAAGCCCCGGGCUCAACUCGGGAAGGGCACUCGAUACUGUUUGGCUAGAGUCUCGGAGAGGUUGGUGGAAUUCUCGGUGUAGAGGUGAAAUUCGUAGAUAUCGAGAGGAACACCGGUGGCGAAGGCGGCCAACUGGACGAAGACUGACGCUGAGACACGAAAGCGUGGGGAGCAAACAGGAUUAGAUACCCUGGUAGUCCACGCCGUAAACGAUGGGUGCUAGGUGUCAUGGGCUUUGACUCCCGUGGUGCCGUAGCCAACGCAUUAAGCACCCCGCCUGGGAAGUACGGCCGCAAGGCUAAA
rnacentral:rRNA from 1 species